rnacentral:lncRNA from 1 species
CCAAAGGCCUGGCCCAGUCCCCACUCUGCAGCUGCCUCCAGGUGCUUAACCUCAGGGGCAACUGCUUGCCUUGCUGCUGGAGCUGCAGGCAUUUCAGAUCCUCAGCCUGGGCAGCAACCAGCUUUAGAGCAUCCCUGCCAAGACCAAGAACUUGUGGAGUUUAGAAUGUUUAUACCUUGGAGGAAAAUUCAUUAAAGUAAUCCCACCAGAAUUAGCAAAUCUCCCUUCUCUGAAUUACUUGGCUUUGUGUGAGAACAAGAUCCAAAGUGUGCCUCCUCAGCUCUCACAGUUGCAUUCCCUUUGAUCUCUCAGUCUGCACAAUAACUUGCUGGCUUACAUGCCUGGAGAGAUCCUUGAUCUUAUUCACCUGGAAGAGUUGUUUAUGAGGAAACCCAUUGGUUGCUCAUUUUGAUGGAGAUUUAACAUGUGACCCCCACCCCUGCCAACUCUUCUGGAAUUAGCUGCAAGGACCAUUAAGAACCAAAGAAUUUCUUACACUCUCUAUGAUCUUCCUGGGAAUCUUCUUAGAUACUUGGGUUCAGCCAGCAAUUGUCCAAAUCCAAAAAGUACAGUGGAGUCUAUUUUGACUGUUGUGUCAGACCAACUAAAUUUGUGGACUUCUGUAGGAAGUACCACCUCCCCCUCAUGCACUAUCUGUGUUCUCCAGAAGGCUCCUCCUCAUGCAGUUCUGCCUCACACAACUCCACAUCCCUGAGUGAGUCUAACUCAGAAGAUGAAGCCAGUGUUGCUGCACAAACAAUGCAGAUAAUUC